rnacentral:snRNA from 1 species
UCCAGAGCAGCCACUGCU